AUCCACCAGUCCCGGAUCAUCAGCGUCUGCGGGCACCGUGCGUCGGGCACUGCCUCAGCCAGCGCCUCAGCCAGCGUGCAGGCCCGGCCACAGUGCACGUGGCCCCCAACCCUGCUGGCAGCGUCCUCGGGGUCCACAGCACAGGCAGGGCCCCCAGUGAGGUCUCUGGGUGAGCGUGGGGUGAGUGGUCCCCAGUGAGGUCUCUGGGUGAGCGUGGGGUGAGUGGCGCCCAGUGAGGUCUCCGGGUGAGUGUGGGGUGAGUGGUCCCCAGUGAGGUCUCGGGGUGAGUGGCCCCCAGUGAGGUCUCUGGGUGAGCAUGGGGUGAGUGGCGCCCAGUGAGGUCUCGGGGUGAGUGUGGGGUGGGCAGCUGCCCCUCCAGCAGCCUUGAUGCUAUGACAGUCAGCAAACAAAGCAGCCCCAUGCCCCGGCCUGACGCCAAGCUCUGCAGGGGAAACGUGUCCCUCUGCCACACUGG